GCAAUCACCUGCACACCUGCAUGGGAGGAUAAGUUUGUGAGAGAUCUUCCAGCAAACAAUUAAAACAAAGAAAGACGCUCAGCUCAUGAUCAAAACACUGGAGACGCAACUGCCCGAGAUGAAGCCUCGAACGUCACACGCUACGUCAUUUCGCCUAUGUGAAUCCCACUCGAUACGGAGCUUCGCUGGGGGAGGAGCCGAGGUACUCGACACACGCCCCUAUGCCUCGACGCAAACCAUAACAUCACUAUAUUAA
ensembl:lncRNA